AUGAACGCUGGCGGCGUGCCUAAUACCUGCAAGUCGCGCGAACAGACGAGGAGCUUGCUCCUCUGACGUUAGCGGCGGACGGGUGAGUAACACGUGGAUAACCUACCUAUAAGACUGGGAUAACUUCGGGAAACCGGAGCUAAUACCGGAUAACAUGUUGAACCGCAUGGUUCAACAGUGAAAGACGGUCUUGCUGUCACUUAUAGAUGGAUCCGCGCCGCAUUAGCUAGUUGGUAAGGUAACGGCUUACCAAGGCAACGAUGCGUAGCCGACCUGAGAGGGUGAUCGGCCACACUGGAACUGAGACACGGUCCAGACUCCUACGGGAGGCAGCAGUAGGGAAUCUUCCGCAAUGGGCGAAAGCCUGACGGAGCAACGCCGCGUGAGUGAAGAAGGUCUUCGGAUCGUAAAACUCUGUUAUUAGGGAAGAACAAAUGUGUAAGUAACUAUGCACGUCUUGACGGUACCUAAUCAGAAAGCCACGGCUAACUACGUG
rnacentral:rRNA from 1 species